rnacentral:rRNA from 1 species
UACGUAGGUGGCAAGCGUUGUCCGGAAUUACUGGGUGUAAAGGGCGUGUAGGCGGGAAGAUAAGUCAGAUGUGAAAUUCCGGGGCUCAACCCCGGCACUGCAUCUGAAACUAUUUUUCUUGAGUGCUGGAGAGGAAAGCGGAAUUCCUAGUGUAGCGGUGAAAUGCGUAGAUAUUAGGAGGAACACCAGUGGCGAAGGCGGCUUUCUGGACAGUAACUGACGCUGAGGCGCGAAAGCGUGGGGAGCAAACAGG